UAUAGUUGACUCUGUUUGGGUGCCUUGCUCCACGACCGUGGGGCGGGUGAAACGGGAAGCCGGUGACUCUGAUCCUUCAGACAGUCCGGCGCAGCCCCCGCUGCUGUAAGCCUGACGACUCCGCAAAACGCCACUGUGCUCGCGCAUGGGAAGGCUGCUGGAGAAGACUGAAGGCAAGCCAGAAGACCGGCCCAAAUCAAAUGUAGCGC
rnacentral:ncRNA from 2 species